rnacentral:lncRNA from 1 species
UUCCUGAGGUUUAGUUCUAGACUUAAAGCACUGCACUGUGGCUAAACUAUGUAAAAUAACAUUUUUGGUGAAAAGCAACACCUGCAAAAAUGUCACACAAAUUUCAACUUUAGUUGUACCCAGUGAUGUCACCAAAUGAAGUGCUAGUGCAGACGACACAAGUAAUAGGGUAUUUAAUUUGUCACCGGCUUCAUGGAAGCCACAGCCUCUGACUCCUUCAUGGCAACCUGCAGUGUAAUGAUGAACCAGAAAAACUCCUUGUCUGGUGGUAUUUACUUGUAACAAGUCACCCUUCCACUUUAGAUAUGAAUAAAAUGCCAUGUUGCAAGCAUGGGAUUUGGCCUCCUGAGUGGUUACCAGGGGGCCUAUCAGUCCAUUGACAGUGCUGGAAGAUGUCUCCUUGUAUGAUGAAUCAUGACCAAUAGGAAAUGAGAGAUGGGAGGCGUCUUGCAGGUGAAUCUCUCGUUUCUUCAUUCCAGGGACAGCAACAAGGGCACCACUCUCACACCUGUAAUCCGAGCACUUUGGAGGCCGAGGUGGACUGAUCGCUUGAACUCAGGAGAUCAAGACCAGCCUGGGCAACAUAGGGAAACCCUAUCUCUACCAAAAAAUACAAAAAUUAGCUGGGCAUGAUGGCAAAUGCCUGUAGCUACUUGGGAGGUUGAGGCAGGAGGAUCACCUGAGCCUGGGAGAUUGAAGCUGCAGUGAACAGAGAUUGUGCCACUGCACUCCAGCCUGGACAACUGGAGUGAGACCCUGUCUCAAAACAAAAGCAAAACAACCGCAAUUUAUUCUCUCAUAGCUCUGGUGCCUCCAAGUCUGAAAUCAAGGUGUCAGCAGGGCUGUGAUCCUUCUGAGCAUCCAGAUAAACUCCUUCCUGGUCUUUUCCUAGCUUCUGGCGGUGGUUUUCCAUUCCUUGGCAUUCCUCGGCUUGCAGGUACAACAUGCCAAGCUCUGCCUCUGUCAACGCAUGGCCUUCUUUCUGUGUCUCUCACUCCAUGUCCCUUCUCUGUGUUCUUCUUACAAGGACACCAGUCAUAUUGGAUUAAUGCCCACUCCAAUGACUUUACCUUAAGUAAUGACAUCUGCAACACCUCUGUUUCCAAAUAAGGUCACACUUUGAGGUAUUGGGGAUGACGGUAGGGUUAGGACUUCAAUAUAUUUUG